rnacentral:ncRNA from 2 species
AACAAGUACUAGGGGAGACUGUAUAGAUAGUCUGAGAGUAGGAUGUUAUCCUUUACCCUCAUAACCUGAUUUAGUUAAUGCUAACGUAGGGAUGUAAUUUGUUAAACUU